UGCCCUUUCUAAUACACUUUUUCCUGUUGCAGAUCUUCACAAUCCAGAGGAUGGAUACAGUUUCAGAUACUCUGAGAGUCAUGGGGUUUCUUACUUAAUACAUAAUGAAAACUUUACUAUCUGCAUGGGCAUGUGCUCUUUUUUUCUUAAUCAUGCCUGAUGUCUCUUUUUCUGGUUCUCAUUCUUUAUUAGCAUAAACAGAUAAAUGAGAGAAGAUCAGGACUGGGGAGAAUAUAGUCCUGUUCCAGCUACAGUUCUGACUCCUUGAAAAAAGAACUUUGCUAUUGAUUUCAUGUGAACAAAAUCUGAAGAUUUAGCAGUGUUGCAUAAACCAUAAAAAAACCCUUUUGGCUAGAAGAGUGAAAUUCAGCUGCCUGAGCAGAUACUUGACAGAUAAUCAGGGCACAGAUGUUCUGUCCACAUAUUUUCUAUAGAGUUUUCUCCUUACUAUGCUCCCAGAUCUUGUGUAUGUCUGCAUGUGAGUGUGUGUGGCAGGGGAGAUAACCUCUGUGCUCUCCUAUGGAGAACUUUGUUUUGUCACUUUUUUCAAGGCCACUAACCUACAUGACCAAAUUCUUAAGCCCCCACAUGGACUUUCAAAGCCAGAAUUUGCUCCAGCUUUUAAAAAAGGCAACUCAAUCAUCAGCCAUGUUGUAUCAGUACUGAAUUUCUCUCCCUCUCUGCUUAUCACUUUAUCCAUACAAAGUAUUUCUAAUUCCCAUAUUCUCCUAAAAUUGAAGCAAGUCAAACACAAAUAGUUCAUUUACAUAGAGAUUAGGACAAGCCUUAUAGGAAAGCCAUCACAGUAUGCUGUAGUUGCAUUUUCACAUAACCACAAUUUUAAUUGAAAAGGGACAGUUGAGCACAGUCAAUCAUGAAUGCCCUCCCCUUCCUAAUAACAGACAUUUAGACCAGUGAGAUUUUUUUUUUUAAUUUUAUAAAAAAUUUUUAUAACCACCAAUACCAAACAGGUAUGUCUACACUGACUUUAAAGGCUUUGGUUGAGAGUGCAGAUCUCUUGGAGCAUUGGCUGGCAGUUUUUCUCUCUUUUAUAGGCCUAACCGUAUCACCCAUAUUUAAAAAAAAAUACAGUCACUGUUGGAGCAUUUUCCAAGAUUGCUUUAACAGAGUAACAACCAGAAUUUACAGUGUCUCACCUCGACUCCACAAACACUUCCAGAACUGUCCAGGACUCUAAGCAUGUUCUUAAUUUCCACUGACUCCAAGCUAAGCACCUGUUUAAGUGUGUUUAUUGAACUGGGGCUGAGUUAAGCAUUUAUUUGAACAAGUAACUGCUUUCCUGAACUGGAGUAUCUGGAUGCACACAACAUAUGUCCUCAUCCUCCUUCCUUGAAAUAGGACUAAGAUCUAUAGUCAUCUCUCUGGGAUUAUGAAUGAAGUUGAGUUUGGGUUUUCAUUUUUAGAAUUAAAAUUUUUGCACCAGGAUUAUAUACUUCCCACUGUUGACAUAGGGGUGGCACAAUAAAAUGGUAAAAACAAUGUGAAUAUCAUUACAGCAGGAGAAACAAAAGAGCAAGAACCAAACUAGGCUUCCAAAAUUUCUUGCAGCAAGUCCACCAAUCAGUUGCGGUCAGUAAUGGAAACAGGACCAGGAAAAUUACAGAUUGUAUGCAUCAGGCGGUAUGCAGAUUUUUGCAGGUCAAGGAUCCAUGUGAAUCCAAAUUUGCCAAAGUAGUGGACAAUGCAAAUCAGAUACACAUUGUGAUGUGCAAGAAUCUGUAUCUUUUAAAUAGUUUUGUAAGCGAAUCAGGUUUAUCUAUUUGUGUUGUGCAUUUGUUCAUUUGUCAAUCCUCCAGUAACUUUUUAACUUACUAGUUAACUAAUCUCAGAUUUCAAAAUUUCACAGAGCCACAAGAAUGCCAAAGACAAAUAAUGAAUCUCUACCAGAUCACAAAAUCAGAGACUGUAUAGAGGAAAAAAGAGUCCCAAGCAAGAGGUCCCAGAGAGGAAAAGACAGAGACAGCCCAAUUCUUGCUGGCUCUGAACAGACAUGAUGAGCUCUCCACCUAGAUUCUGAAUUUCUGCUUUAACUUGACUGCAGAUUUUGAGCUGAUGGGAGUACAGCUUGAUCUGUUCUAGAGUUUAUUCAACUUGAUCAGCAGAUCUUCUGUAUCAGUGGGAACAGGAAAAUAAGAAUGUCUUACAGAAAACUCACCGAUUUCAAUACUUUUAACAACACAGUUUUUUUAUAAAAAAUAGCAUCCUUCUGCUCUCACUUCUGUGACCUCCCAAAAUACUUGGAGUACUUGGAGGUGAAAUGCCACUCUGUGAGUACCAGGCUAGACACCUAAGGCCUGGUAUGCAUUUGUUCUAAAGCUGCUUUUCAUCGCUCUGGCAGAAUAAAGGGAUCUUGAGGUGAACGGUGAGUCCCUAUUGUGCUACGACAGCUGUAAAAAGUCAGCAUGAUAAGUAAGAAAUAGAUCCCUACAGUUUUUCAGACGUGUUUUUAGCCUGUGUGCUGUACUUACAUUAUAAUAUGGUCACUUUAAAGAAAAGAUACAUUCCCACCAACUGCAGUCGCAGCAGUCAUCUCUGAUUUUGUAUAGUUAUUUAAACUUUUGGUCUUAUGGAAUUGUGGUCAACAGAUUUAAAUCCAAAACCUGCCAGAAGUCAGAAAAAGCACAGAUUCUACUUAACUCAUGAAAUGCUUUGCCUAAACUACUAGCUUUGCUGAAGAAACUUGAUACUUGUUUAAAAUAGGGGUGUGACAAUUCUACUCUUCAUGACUAUGCAGUAUGUUUGGUUAAGCAAACAAGUUCAUGUUUUAGACUUAGGAAACAAUGAGUAAGGAAGAUUAACGUGAACAAUUUUAAAUUAAUUUAUAUGAAUUAAAUGUCGGUCUUUACCUUGUGUUCUGCUAGAUCCAUUACUAAAAUGUUUUCUGUACUUUGACAUAGUUUAGAAGAAAGAUAGAGGAGUUUCUUGACAUCCUCUCUUUCUUAUGUGUGACGUUUUCAAAGUGUUAGCGUAUUAUGGAAAACUAUACUAAAUACGUCUUUGUUUCUUGCUUAUUCAACACUGCUUUAAGAACCGCACAAAUCAGUAUUUACAUACUGGUAUCUAACUGACUGUUUAGAAAACUGGAAUACUCAUUGUUUAUUUAAUUUUAAUUAAUAAAAAAUUGUCCUUCCAGUCAAAUACAAUUAAUUCCUUUAAACAUCAGAACUAAUUAUACCAAGACAGGGCAUAUUUCCUGGAACAAGAUGCUUGCUUCUCCAUUUUUGCUUUUCUUAAAUACACUGUGAUUUACGUUUUUCCACCACUGGAAAAAUUCAAGAGAUGGGCAGAUAGGGUGUCGAUGUAGUGUCUCAUCCACUUCAAAUAGUGACAGUGCCAAUUACAGAACUUCAGAGACAAGAAUAAUUUAACCUUAUUAUAUAGUACUCUUUUACAUAUUGGCAGGCCAGUCACAUUUACUAUCUUCCUUAUAUACCAUUUGAGAAGAAAUGUGUAACAUUUUAGGAAUGCUAAAGAUGAUAUGCAUCAAAGACCGGGAAAUUGCCACUCAAGAACAAGACCUUGAAGUUAAAACAGUUCUAUGAAAACACUGGUUCAGUGCUCAGUAGCAUUCAAAAAAAGCAAAUGCUAGGCAUUAUUAGGAAAAGACUUCUGAAAUGUGGUUAUGCAACUGUACGACUCUCUGGUAUACCCACAACUUUACUACCCAGUGUAGAUAGAUAUGGUGCAUCUCUCCCCUCCCUUGCCUACUAUGAGGCACAUAAGACAACAGGAAAAGGACAACAAAGAUUUUUAUGAAGACAGGUAUUCUUUCCUCCAAUAAAAACCCAAGAGGUCAUUAAAAGUUACUAGCAUGAGUUCAAACCAAAAGGAGAUGGUUCUUAACACUGUGUUGUUAAGUUGCAGAAAUCUUUGUUGCAGAAUGGUUAUACUAAAAGCUUACUUGGGUUAAAAAAGUUACUGGACAAAUCAAUGAAAAACAUCAAGGACUAUUUAAUGUAUCAAUGUAUCAAAAAUAUGUUUGGUUAAGUAAAUUCUUGAAUGGCUGCUGGAGGUUGGGAGACCAUAUUGUCAAGUAUCAUGAAACGCAUGCCAUCAUCUCACCGAGUUCUGUAUAUAUUCACUACUGUCAGCAACAGGAUAUUGGCCUAAAUGAACCUAUAGUCCAACUAAGUGUGCUCAUUUUUAUGUACUUUACCCAUAAAAUUUUCCAAGAUGGUAGGAUCAAGGCAGGGACCAACACAAUGCAAAGAAGAGGCAUUUACAGGGGCAGAGAUAACACUCUAGACUACUUUAAGCAGGAUGAAGUACUACAAAAAAAUUAAAGCCUCAUGCCUUAUAGCAUAUCCCAAUCAACCAUGAACAGAUGUUAGAAAGAAAUGUACUCUGUAGAGAGGAUAUUCCAUAAGGAAUCCUCUACAUACGGCUCAGAAGAAUCUGGUGCAAGCAACACUUGCUCACUAGUGAAACCAAGCACUAGGCUGCAACAGAAUCACAAUAACUUCUGAGUUUAAUCAUCCCACAGGCAAUUGAUGGUUACCAGUUUAAUGUCCCACAUUCUUAACUAGAGAUCCUGGCAAAGUAUGAGAGGUUCUUUCCCAUACAUAUUGAAGGUAGUGAGGUGUUAAGAGCCUUCCAUUAAGAACAGGAUCAGAACUGACUUGCAUCCAAAUGAUGCAGUGGUGUUUUACCCAACAGAAGUAAUAUCCAGAAGCCUCCAGGUCAUCUGAUAGAUUAUGCAGUGAUUAAAGACACAGUGAAACCAACAUUCACAAUCCAAGUGAAAAAGCCACUAGUACAGCAGUGGCACAAAAGACCAAGACAAACAAUUCUGGAGGAAAUUCUGACUGUAAACAAUACUGUUCUUGCUUUAUGUUGAUUUCAUCCCUUUGCUAACAAAGUCGGUAGCAUUUCUCUAGAAUCUGAAUCUGUCUUCAUGGUGAGUAAUACUAUGUAUAAUCACAAACAGAUCCACUACUAUAAAUAGAAAUGUAUAAUAAUUUAUUGCAACUAGUUAUUAACUGUGAGCUUCUAGGUUAGAUGAUCCUGUAAUUGGAAGAUCUUUUCGGCACAUCUGCUUGCAUCAUAUUCACCAGCUAAUCAUUUUAAAGGAUGCCUUUUUAGUUUUACUUUCAGGGAAACUUUUUUGAAGUACAUGAAAUCAGCUUCUAAGUCAGGAGACUACCUGGUUCUAUAGCAAGACAUGUUUCAUACUGAUCCCUACACUUCCAGAAUUUGAAAGUAGUUAACUUUUUAUUGCCUUGUAUUGAUCCUAACCGAGAAACCACUGUACAUGGAGGAGUUAGUGACCCACGCAGCAGUUAACCUGAGUAGGGCCAGGCCUGGGCUGUGCUGUGGUGCACAAAUCCCUUGUCUGCAGCAUACACCUAGCUGAUGUACGGCAGCAGAGGAGCUUGCGGGCAGCUCCCACUUGGUAGUGGUGAUUGGGACACUGGCAUAUCCUUGCCUUUAUCUAGGCAGAAAGGAGUUCUCAUGUCAACAUCCCGUUUGACAGUGGAAAUGAUUAAUAGAGUUGUUUCGUUGUAAGAGAAUCCCGUAAUAGCUCGAAUGACCAAAAUGGGGGAAUCUCUUCUACAGAGAGGGUCUGCCCAGCAUGCUGUGGAUGGCUCCAAGGCCCAUUCGGUGCUACACCACCUGGGGUUCCCACCACUGAACGGGAUGUAAGAUUAUCUACGCUAUUCUUUCCUUACAGUGUUAGCUCUCACAAACAGCAUUUUAAAUGACAUCUCAGAGAGUCUGAGUGCCUGUCUUACUGGGAUCAUAGCGGACCAGCAUCUCCUGGUGCAAAACAACUGGAAUACUGAGGAGGCUUUUAAUAAAGAUCUUAAUCUACAGCACACAGCAUUAAAACCAGGAUGUAGUAACUGCCUUAAUUAUCUUAUGGCUUUCAGGUCACAAAUUUGACAAUGAAUUUGAAACAAUCUUAUUUUAAACUAAAUUUAUUAUCAAUGUACUUGUGAUUAAUUUGCCUAGUUUUAUGUUGAUGCGGUACUGUAAUUAUUUUCACAGUUGUUAACUCUGAGUCAUCUUAAAAGUGCUGUAUGGACUCAAAUACAACUGAAUUCUGCUAAUUAUACCAUACUGUGUCUCUUUCCUUCAAAUGCAGGAAGAGGGGUUUAUAAAAAUCUGAAAUGAAGAACAGUGUAUCAGAGAGGUGCUGCUGUGGCUGACAAGUUAUAAAAUACUGCUAAUACAGUUUCAAGGUGGUUUGUUUUUUUUUUUUUCCUCCUAAAAGAAAAACUGUAUGAAUGAUGUCAUUCCACAGUUCUCAAUUAUGAUUCUCUAAAAUUACAUGGAGUGUGAACCAAAAUCAUUCAUUUGAAAAUGUUUUAUGAACAGGAAAAGGUCACAGAGAUAUGACAGUGAUUCUUCA